rnacentral:piRNA from 1 species
UGAGCCGCAUCAAGAAGCAGGUGAGCCC